rnacentral:rRNA from 1 species
AUUGAACGCUGGCGGCAGGCCUAACACAUGCAAGUCGAGCGAAUGAACGGAGCUUUCUCCUGUAUUCAGCUGCGGACGGGUGAGUAAUUCCUAGGAAUCUGCCUGGUAUUUGGGGAUAACGUCCGGUCACGGGCGCUAAUACCGCACACGUCCUUAUGGAGAACGGGGGGGAUCUUAGGUCCUAACGCUUCUUGCUGACCCUAGUACGGAUUAGCGAGUUGGUUGGGUAAAGGCCUACCAAGGCGACGAUCCGUAACUGGUCUGAGAGGGUGAUCAGUCACACUGGAACUGAGACACGGUCCAGACUCCUACGGGAGGCAGCAGUGGGGAAUAUUCGGCAAUGGGCGAAAGCCUGAUGCAGCAAUGCCGCGUGAGUGAAGAAGGUCUUCGGAUCGUAAAGCACUGUUAGUAGGGAGGAACAGAAGUAAGUGAAUAUCUGGAUGUCUUGACGGUACCAAAAGAGAAAGCACCGGCUAACUACGUG